AAUAAGUUUAUUGGUAGGUUUCUAUAUCUAACUUUUGACCGUUCGUCUUAUCUGAAAAUUUUUAAAAAACAAGUCAUGCAUAAAGUACUAUUUAUAUCUUAUCAUCUAAUAACAACAAAAAUACUAGUAAUUCAUAAAAAGAGCAAAUAAGACAUACGGUCAAACAUUGCACACAUAAACAUAUAAAUGAACUUAUU
rfam:Oryza sativa Japonica Group DNA, chromosome 3, cultivar: Nipponbare, complete sequence.